rnacentral:rRNA from 2 species
UUAAGCGACUAAGCGUACACGGUGGAUGCCCUGGCAGUCAGAGGCGAUGAAGGGCGUGCUAAUCUGCGAUAAGCGCCGGUAAGGUGAUAUGAACCGUUAUAACCGGCGAUACCCGAAUGGGGAAACCCAGUGUGACUCGUCACACUAUCAUUAACUGAAUCCAUAGGUUAAUGAGGCGAACCGGGGGAACUGAAACAUCUAAGUACCCCGAGGAAAAGAAAUCAACCGAGAUUCCCCCAGUAGCGGCGAGCGAACGGGGAGGAGCCCAGAGCCUGAAUCAGCAUGUGUGUUAGUGGAAGCGUCUGGAAAGGCGCGCGAUACAGGGUGACAGCCCCGUACACAAAAGCGCAUGUGCUGUGAGCUCGAUGAGUAGGGCGGGACACGUGGUAUCCUGUCUGAAUAUGGGGGGACCAUCCUCCAAGGCUAAAUACUCCUGACUGACCGAUAGUGAACCAGUACCGUGAGGGAAAGGCGAAAAGAACCCCGGCGAGGGGAGUGAAAAAGAACCUGAAACCGUGUACGUACAAGCAGUGGGAGCACCCUUUGGGUGUGACUGCGUACCUUUUGUAUAAUGGGUCAGCGACUUAUAUUCUGUAGCAAGGUUAACCGAAUAGGGGAGCCGGAGGGAAACCGAGUCUUAACCGGGCGUUAAGUUGCAGGGUAUAGACCCGAAACCCGGUGAUCUAGCCAUGGGCAGGUUGAAGGUUGGGUAACACUAACUGGAGGACCGAACCGACUAAUGUUGAAAAAUUAGCGGAUGACCUGUGGCUGGGGGUGAAAGGCCAAUCAAACCGGGAGAUAGCUGGUUCUCCCCGAAAGCUAUUUAGGUAGCGCCUCGUGAAUUCAUCUCCGGGGGUAGAGCACUGUUUCGGCUAGGGGGCCAUCCCGGCUUACCAACCCGAUGCAAACUGCGAAUACCGGAGAAUGUUAUCACGGGAGACACACGGCGGGUGCUAACGUCCGUCGUGAAGAGGGAAACAACCCAGACCGCCAGCUAAGGUCCCAAAGUCAUGGUUAAGUGGGAAACGAUGUGGGAAGGCCCAGACAGCCAGGAUGUUGGCUUAGAAGCAGCCAUCAUUUAAAGAAAGCGUAAUAGCUCACUGGUCGAGUCGGCCUGCGCGGAAGAUGUAACGGGGCUAAACCAUGCACCGAAGCUGCGGCAGCGACACUGUGUGUUGUUGGGUAGGGGAGCGUUCUGUAAGCCUGUGAAGGUGUGUCGUGAGGCAUGCUGGAGGUAUCAGAAGUGCGAAUGCUGACAUAAGUAACGAUAAAGCGGGUGAAAAGCCCGCUCGCCGGAAGACCAAGGGUUCCUGUCCAACGUUAAUCGGGGCAGGGUGAGUCGACCCCUAAGGCGAGGCCGAAAGGCGUAGUCGAUGGGAAACGGGUUAAUAUUCCCGUACUUGGUGUUACUGCGAAGGGGGGACGGAGAAGGCUAUGUUGGCCGGGCGACGGUUGUCCCGGUUUAAGCGUGUAGGUGUGUGUUCCAGGUAAAUCCGGUUCACUUUAACACUGAGGCGUGACGACGAGGCACUACGGUGCUGAAGCAACAAAUGCCCUGCUUCCAGGAAAAGCCUCUAAGCAUCAGGUAACAUCAAAUCGUACCCCAAACCGACACAGGUGGUCAGGUAGAGAAUACCAAGGCGCUUGAGAGAACUCGGGUGAAGGAACUAGGCAAAAUGGUGCCGUAACUUCGGGAGAAGGCACGCUGACACGUAGGUGAAGUGAUUUACUCAUGGAGCUGAAGUCAGUCGAAGAUACCAGCUGGCUGCAACUGUUUAUUAAAAACACAGCACUGUGCAAACACGAAAGUGGACGUAUACGGUGUGACGCCUGCCCGGUGCCGGAAGGUUAAUUGAUGGGGUCAGCGCAAGCGAAGCUCCUGAUCGAAGCCCCGGUAAACGGCGGCCGUAACUAUAACGGUCCUAAGGUAGCGAAAUUCCUUGUCGGGUAAGUUCCGACCUGCACGAAUGGCGUAAUGAUGGCCAGGCUGUCUCCACCCGAGACUCAGUGAAAUUGAACUCGCUGUGAAGAUGCAGUGUACCCGCGGCAAGACGGAAAGACCCCGUGAACCUUUACUAUAGCUUGACACUGAACAUUGAGCCUUGAUGUGUAGGAUAGGUGGGAGGCUUUGAAGUGUGGACGCCAGUCUGCAUGGAGCCGACCUUGAAAUACCACCCUUUAAUGUUUGAUGUUCUAACGUGGACCCGUUACCCGGGUUGCGGACAGUGUCUGGUGGGUAGUUUGACUGGGGCGGUCUCCUCCUAAAGAGUAACGGAGGAGCACGAAGGUUGGCUAAUCCUGGUCGGACAUCAGGAGGUUAGUGCAAUGGCAUAAGCCAGCUUGACUGCGAGCGUGACGGCGCGAGCAGGUGCGAAAGCAGGUCAUAGUGAUCCGGUGGUUCUGAAUGGAAGGGCCAUCGCUCAACGGAUAAAAGGUACUCCGGGGAUAACAGGCUGAUACCGCCCAAGAGUUCAUAUCGACGGCGGUGUUUGGCACCUCGAUGUCGGCUCAUCACAUCCUGGGGCUGAAGUAGGUCCCAAGGGUAUGGCUGUUCGCCAUUUAAAGUGGUACGCGAGCUGGGUUUAGAACGUCGUGAGACAGUUCGGUCCCUAUCUGCCGUGGGCGCUGGAGAACUGAGGGGGGCUGCUCCUAGUACGAGAGGACCGGAGUGGACGCAUCACUGGUGUUCGGGUUGUCAUGCCAAUGGCACUGCCCGGUAGCUAAAUGCGGAAGAGAUAAGUGCUGAAAGCAUCUAAGCACGAAACUUGCCCCGAGAUGAGUUCUCCCUGAGACUUAGAGUCUCCUGAAGGAACGUUGAAGACGACGACGUUGAUAGGCCGGGUGUGUAAGCGCAGCGAUGCGUUGAGCUAACCGGUACUAAUGAACCGUGAGGCUUAACCUU